UACGUAGGGGGCAAGCGUUGUCCGGAUUUAUUGGGCGUAAAGAGCGUGUAGGCGGUUCGGUAGGUCCGCUGUGAAAACUCGAGGCUCAACCUCGAGACGCCGGUGGAAACCAUCAGACUAGAGUCCGGAAGAGGAGAGUGGAAUUCCUGGUGUAGCGGUGAAAUGCGCAGAUAUCAGGAAGAACACCCGUGGCUAAGGCGGCUCUCUAGUACGGUACUGACGCUGAGACGCGACAGCGUGGGGAGCAAACAGG
rnacentral:rRNA from 1 species